rnacentral:rRNA from 1 species
AAACAUAGCCUAUUGAUUCUUUAUAAUAGGUGCCUUCUGCCCAGUGAAAAUUUUAACGGCCGCGGUAACUUAACCGUGCUAAGGUAGCACAAUAAUUUGUCUCUUAAUUUGAGAAUAGAAUGAAUGAACAAACAAUAAGACAGCUGUCUCAUCACAUACAAUAAAAAUUUAUUCAAAGGUGAAAAAGCCUUUAUUUAAUAAAAAGACAAAAAGACCCUAGAAACUUUUAAAUAAUUGAAAAUUCCUAACAAAUAUUUUUUAGCUGGGAGGGCAUAAAGUCUACACAACACUUUUUAUUUGAAAGAAUAGUAUCAUAAAAAUCAACCCCAAUAAGAAUAUAAGUAAGCUACUCUAGGGGUAACAGGCUAAUACUCCUUAAGAGUACAUAUUGACAGGAGUGUUUGGCACCUCGAUGUUGGCUUAGGAAUCUUAUUUUAAGCAGAAGUAAAAAUAAGUGGUUCGUUCAACCUUUAAUAUCCUACAUGAUCUG